rnacentral:rRNA from 1 species
CCUACGGGAGGCUGCAGUGGGGGAUAUUGCACAAUGGGGGAAACCCUGAUGCAGCGACGCCGCGUGGGUGAAGAAGCGCCUCGGCGCGUAAAGCCCUGUCAGCAGGGAAGAAAAUGACGGUACCUGAAGACGACUCCCCGGCUCCCUACGUUCCAGCAGCCGCGGUAAUACGUAGGGGGCAAGCGUUAUCCGGAUUUACUGGGUGUAAAGGGGGCGCAGACGGCGAUGCAGGACAGGAGUGAAAGCCCGGGGCCCAACCCCGGAACUGCUCUUGGAACUGCGGGGCUAGAGUGCAGGAGGGGCAGGCGGAAUUCAUGGUGUAGCGGUGAAAUGCGUAGAUAUCAGGAGGAACACCGGUGGCGAAGGCGGCCUGCUGGACUGCAACUGACGUUGAGGCCCGAAAGCGUGGGGAGCAAACAGGAUUAGAUACCCCAGUAGUC